rnacentral:misc_RNA from 1 species
AAGAUGCAUUCAGCUGGUUGUCCCAGUCUUCCAGAGCACAUGAGAGUCCAUAUUUGUGCACUGGAUGAACUUCCCAGUUAUACAGGAAUUGACAGGGAUGAGUGGGAAAAUAGGGAAGAAUGUGAGAGCAGUGAAGAAUUAACAGAUGAAAUAUCCACAAAUUCUAACAGUUCUUUUAGUAAUCAAGACAAAGACGAUGAACAAACUGAUUGGAGAGAGCUUGAUGAA